rnacentral:rRNA from 1 species
UACGUAGGGUGCGAGCGUUGUCCGGAAUUAUUGGGCGUAAAAGGGCUCGUAGGCGGUUUGUCGCGUCUGCCGUGAAAGUCCGGGGGCUCAACUCCGGAUCUGCGGUGGGUACGGGCAGACUAGAGUGAUGUAGGGGAGACUGGAAUUCCUGGUGGUAGCGGUGGAAAUGCGCCAGAUAUCAGGAGGAACACCCGUGGCGAAGGCGGCUCUCGUGGGAGCGGUACUGGACGCUGAAGCACGCGGGAAAGCGUAGGGAGGCGAACAUGG